CCUACGGGACGCAGCAGUGGGGAAUAUUGGACAAUGGGGGCAACCCUGAUCCAGCCAUGCCGCGUGUGUGAAGAAGGCCCUCGGGUUGUAAAGCACUUUCAGUGAGGAAGAACGCCUGGUGGUUAAUACCCAUCAGGAAAGACAUCACUCACAGAAGAAGCACCGGCUAACUCCGUGCCAGCAGCCGCGGUAAUACGGAGGGUGCGAGCGUUAAUCGGAAUUACUGGGCGUAAAGCGCGCGUAGGUGGCUUGAUAAGCCGGUUGUGAAAGCCCCGGGCUCAACCUGGGAACGGCAUCCGGAACUGUCAAGCUAGAGUGCAGGAGAGGAAGGUAGAAUUCCCGGUGUAGCGGUGAAAUGCGUAGAGAUCGGGAGGAAUACCAGUGGCGAAGGCGGCCUUCUGGACUGACACUGACACUGAGGUGCGAAAGCGUGGGUAGCAAACAGGAUUAGAUACCCCAGUAGUC
rnacentral:rRNA from 1 species